GGCCGAGAGGGACCCUGACUUUGCAGCAGGGUGUCUGGGCAUUGGUGGCUCCACCUGCAGAACCAAAAGAAUCCACCAGGUCUGAUGGGCAAAGGUUCCUCCUCCCCUGCUGCAGCUAACAUGGAGGACUUGCAUGGAGAUGGUGGAGUCACAGGAUGAACACAGGCUAAGUCACUACCUGGAGGACAGCUGCCUGGACAGUCACCUGGAUCGCAGUGGACUGCAUGAAUGAAAACAAAGUGAGA
rnacentral:lncRNA from 10 species